rnacentral:lncRNA from 1 species
UUAAGAACAAAAUAACCCGACUGUCAUUUGGGAAAGAAUCCCCGUUCCUUCUAACUCAACUGCUCACGGCGGUUCCAUCCUGAUGUGGAACGGACGCACCUCGCACGGAGCGUCGCCUCCCGUGGAACCGACAUUAGAACCAUCGCGUUAUAUAAACCUCGUUCAUCAAUCAAUAAAGUACACCCAUUCAUUCUCGUCGAUUCUUGUCUUUCGUUUUCGUUCUCUCGAUUCCACUUGCAACAGUAUGUUUGUUAUUGCGCUAUUUUUUGCCACUAAAAUACGUGGACGUAUAUCAUGUGACGUGGCGUGUCCACCUUGAUCACUUCCUGCUCGGAACAGUCGCACUGACCCAGAGCUCGGCACCGGCCCCUGCCUGCAUCACAACGACGAUCCCCUCCUCGGCGCACGGCGAG